rnacentral:lncRNA from 10 species
AAACACUAUUAUACCCUGAUAGUUUUCACCUAACGUUACAUCCUGAGCAUUUUACCAUUUUAAAUUAUUCAAACCUAUGAUAUUUAGUGGCUAUAUAAUAUUACAUUAUGUGUGCUAUGGUAGUAGAUUUACCAAUUCCCCUUUAGUAGACAUUUAGAUAUUUACAAUUUUUAUUCUUAUGAAGCUAAAUUCUGAAAGUGUAAAUAAGGUCCAAAGUUUAUGGAUGAUUUUUGAGGCGCUUGAUAAAUACAUAUUUCUAAAUUGCUUUUCAGAAAUAUUUCAUAAUCAGUGUAAGAGAGUGACUAUUGCACUGUUACUUGGCAGCACUAUUGUUUUCUUUCUUUAUAUAUUUAAAUAUUUUUAAUUACUUGUAUUUCUGGUGAGAUUAAUUCUUUCUAAGGUACUACCAUGGUCAUUGGGGCUGUUUACACAUAUUCCAGUUCAUCUCCCUUUGGAAAUACAACAGGUUUGGACUCUUCUCUCCUUUUGAAAAUUAUGCUUGACCAUGGGACUUGCUUUGGCCAAUGAAAUAUGAAUAAAGUGACAUGUCACUUCUGGCCCAAAACUUUAGGAGCCAGCGCACAAUUUGCCACAUUUCCCUAUUUUGUGCGUGUGUGAUGAUGAGAGUGUGAAUUGAGAUGGAGCUUCUGUCAGCCUGGGGCCCUAAGAGACCUGGAUGACCUUGGCUCCCCAGUCAACCCACACUGGGAGGUAGCAUGAGUAAGAAAUAAAUCUUAUUGCAUCACUGAAAUUCAGGGCUGGUUAUCACUGAAGCAUAAUUGAGAUUAUCCUGACUGAUAUGAUUCCAUGUAUUAUUGUAUAACAAUAUGGCAAAAAAUUGAUCAAUGUCCUUUCACUUUAGGAAAAUGCAUAAAUUGAUAUGAGGGCUGUGUGAUUCUGAGACAAAGGGAAAACAUAUGUCUUCAUAGCCUAUGAUUUUUCAAUUUAAAAAUAAUAUUGUAGUGCUUGCUUCAGCACCACAUAUACUAAAAUUGGAAUGACACAGAGAAGAUUAGUGUGGUCCCUGUGCAAGGAUGACAUGCAAAUUCUUGAAGCAUUCCAUAUUUUUUUAAAAAAGAAAAUAAUAUUGUAAUGUAUUUCUACAAGUAAAGUGAAGAAAGGAAAUUAUAUGAUUCAUAGGAAUAAAGUAAACCAUGAGUUUUGUGAAAAUGGCACCAAAAAUUCAGAAAGAAAGGGAAAAGUCAACUGAGACUCUAAGUUGAUUCGUUCCUGUUUUGUUUUGUGUCCUUCUACUGGUGUUACCCAGACAGCACUGCAUGCAAUGUGGCUGAACAGGUGCAAACUUGCACUGCUGUGAUAAGAAAAGGUAUUUAGUAGUGUUACACAAGACAUGUUAUGACAAUCCAGCUUCUGCCAGUGAAUGGAGCAUUUUGUGUUUGGAUCCCAAAGAAGUUACUCUUCUUGUCAAAGGAAAGAAGCUAAAUUAUCCUUCCCAAGGCCACACAUAGGCAGAAACAUAUACAGGAUGCAGAAGGUCAGGUAGAACCACAAUGGCAGGGAAACAGAGGCUCAAUAAGGAGAUAACAUUCUGCCAAUCAUAUUUGUGGACAGACCAGAAAUAUUCUAGCAUAGGGAUUAAGGACCCCAAAGAAGUGACUUCUCAGAACAAGUAGGCUUAAGAUUUGGGGCCAGAAUCUAAACAGAAUCUACAGAACUUGUACAAUGCAAGGAGAAAAAUACCAAAUGGCUAAGCAAUCUCACCUUUAAAAAUGAUAACAGAACUCUCUCCUAAAUAGUAUUCUUUGUUGGUAUACAUAAAAUGCUAUGUGUAUAUACACAUAUACAUACAUAUGUAUAUAUACAUGUUAUGUGUGUAUAUAUAUGUAUAUAUAUGUAUAUAUACAUAAAUGUUAUGUGUGUAUACAUAUGUAUAUAUACAUAAAUGUUAUGUGUGUAUACAUAUGUAUAUAUACAUAAAUGUUAUGUGUAUAUACUCACAUACAUAAAUGUUAUGUGUAUAUACUCACAUACAUAAAUGUUAUGUGUAUAUACACACAUACAUAAAUGUUAUGUGUAUAUACACACAUACAUAAAUGUUAUGUGUAUAUACACACAUACAUAAAUGUUAUGUGUAUAUACACACAUACAUAAAUGUUAUGUGUAUAUACACACAUACAUAAAUGUUAUGUGUAUAUACACACAUACAUAAAUGUUAUGUGUAUAUACACACAUACAUAAAUGUUAUGUGUAUAUACACACAUACAUAAAUGUUAUGUGUAUAUACACACAUACAUAAAUGUUAUGUGUAUAUACACACAUACAUAAAUGUUAUGUGUAUAUACACACAUACAUAAAUGUUAUGUGUAUAUACACACAUACAUAAAUGUUAUGUGUAUAUACACACAUACAUAAAUGUUAUGUGUAUAUACACACAUACAUAAAUGUUAUGUGUAUAUACACACAUACAUAAAUGUUAUGUGUAUAUACACACAUACAUACAUAUUAGUAGUAGUUAAAGUAUAAUCAUUCUAAAAAAUUAUUUUGCCUUCUUCGAAAAGUCCCAAGCUUCAGAACUCCUGUGGGUAUUGUUAUAUAGAGAUACAAAAGAUAUCUUGGUAGUUCCCUUAUGUGACCACUAUCGUCAAGUUUCUGGUGCCCAGAAUGGCAUAAACACACACAUGCACAUCAUCUCUAUGUCCUCACAUCUGUCUAAACAAUGCACCACUUUGUGCUGUUUUUAUGCAGGUAAAGAGCUAUGGCUAAAGCAUGAGUGAUUUGUUCCUUUAUUACCAAAAUAUUUAUAGCAGCCUUGAUGUGACUUAUGUAGAAGAAAAUUAAAUAGCAAAGAAAUUGUGGCCGGGCGCGGUGGCUCACGCCUGUAAUCCCAGCACUUUGGGAGGCCGAGGCGGGUGAAUCACGAGGUCAGGAGUUUAAGAGCAGCCUGGCCAACACAGUGAAACCCCGUCUCUACUAAAAAUACAAAAAAUUAGCUGUCCAUAAUGGCAGGCACCUAUAAUCCCAGCUACUCAGGAGGCUGAGGCAGGAGAAUCGUUUGAACCCAGGAGGCGGAGGUUGCAAUGAGCCGAGAUCAUGCCACUGCACUCCAGCCCUGGUGACAGAGUGAGACUCUGUCUCAAAAAAAAAAAAAAAAAAAGAAUAAAGAAAGAAAGAAAGAAAGAAAGAAAUUGUAGCAGAAUUACAGUUAGAAAUAAGCAAUAGACUUAGUUUACAAAAUUUAAAAAUUGGCAAAUACAAAUUUUACAUUUGGGAAAAUUAUUGGAAAAAAAUCUGUGUUCAGAUUUUAAACUUUGGUUUCAAAGCCAUUUUAAUGAGAACAUUAAAAGGGAAUUUUUAUUUUUCGAAAACAAGAGCAGUAGAUUACUUAUUCACCAAAUUUUAUAUAAUCAUAGAACAUCUAUUAGGCAGUACAAUUGAGUGCAAAGGAAAAAGAACCGUAGCUCUACUUCUGCGGGAGAAAACAAUAAAGAAACAAGAAAGCAUGUUCAUUUUCUUCUCCUAUACGUAUAUUAGUAAAAUAAGACUAAUAUCUACAGGUCCUGGGAAUUGAUUUUGAAGCUAUGUCUUAAUAAUAAUAGCUAAUAUUUAUUGAGAAUCUACCAUGUGGCAGUCAAUUUACAUGUGUUACCUUACUUCAUCUUCACAAAAACCUGAUCAAGUCAGCUGUGGUAGACUCAAUUAAUGGUGGUCCACAAUUAAUAACACCUUCCAGUAUUAUACCCUCUCCCACAUUGACCAUGGGCCUGGCCAUCUGAUUUGCCUUGUCCUGUGGGACAUUAGCAAGCAUGAUACAAGUAGAGGCUGAAUAAGUGCUUGAACAUUGGAUUUGUCUUCUCAAGAUCUAUGUUGCCAUGUAAAAAGCUCAGGCUAAAUUACUAAAUCAUGAGAGGUCAACUGGAGAGAGGCUCUGGAGAGUGAGAAGCCAUCUUGGACACUCCAACCCCAGCCAAGCUCUCAGCUGAUUAUUGUUGAAUAAGAGACCCAAGCAAAGCCAGCAGAACCACCCAGCUAAAUCCCAACCCACAGAAUAAUUUUAAUGUAAUAAAUCAUUAGGCCAGGUAUGGUGGCUCACGCCCGUAAUCCCAACACUUUGGGAGGCCAAAGUGGGCGGAUUGCUUGAGGCUAGGAGUUCGAGACCAGCCUGGGCAACAUGGUGAACCCCAUCUCUUAAAAAAAACCUCAAAAAUUAGCUGGGCGUGGUGGUAUGCACCUGUAGUCCCAGUUACUCGGGAGACUGAGGUGGGAGGAUGGCUUGAGCCUGGGAGGUGGAGGUUGCAGUGAGCCAAGAUUGUGCCACUGCACUCCAGCCUGGGCGACGAAGUGAGACCCUGUCUUAAAAAUAAAUAAAUAAAUGAUAAAAGUAAUAGGUCAUUUUUGUUUUAAGCCACUAUACUUUGGUGUGGUUUGUUACAUAGCAAUAGAUAACUGAAAUAUGACUAAUAUAAUUUACAAUUGAUGUAUAUGUUAAUUGUGAGCCAGAGAGGUUAAAUACAUAGUCAAAGUCUUAUAAAAAGAUUGUAAUUCUGGGCUGGGCAUGGGGGCUCAUGCCUGUAAUCCCAGCACUUUGGGAGGCCGCGGCAGGCGGAUCACGAGGUCAGGAGUUCGAGACCAGCCUGGCCAACAUGGUAAAACCCCAUCUCUACUAAAAAUGCAAAAAAAUUAGCCGGGCGUGGUGGCACACACCUGUAGUCCCAGCUACAUGGGCAGCCUGAGGCAGGAGAAUCACUUGAAUCCGGGAGGCGGAGGUUGCAGUGAGCUGAGAUCACACCACUGACUCCAGCCUGGGCAACAGAGUGAGACUCUGUCUCAAAAAAUAAAAAAAAAAAAAAAGAUUGUAAUUCCAAAUGUACCACACAAAAUCUCGUGUUCUUUCCACUACACUUUCCUAAAUUCCAGGCUUAUAUAUCCAAACUGCUUAUUUGACAUGUCUCCUUGGUUCUCUAAUAGGCAUUUCAAACAUAACAGGCCCCGAACAAAACUCUUGAGCCCUUCUUUCCAAAUUUGCUCUUCUCUCUGGGUUCCCUACCUCAGUAAAUAGCACCAGCACCCAUCUAGUUGCCUAGUUGCUCAGGAAAAAAAAAACAAAAACCUAGGCCGGGCACGGUGGCUCACACCUGUAAUCUCAGCACACUUUGGGUGGCCAAGGCGGGCGGAUCACUUGAGGCCAGGAGUUUGAGACCAGCCAGGAGUUUGAGACCAGACAUGGUGAAACCCCAUCUCUACUAAAAAUACAAAAAUUAGCUGGGCGUGGUGGUGCAUGCCUGUAAUCCCAGCUACUUGGAAGGCUGAGGCAUGAGAAUUGCUUGAACCUGGAGGCUGAGGUUGCAAUGAGCCAAGAUCAUGCCACUGCACUCCAGCCUCAGCAACAGAGUGAGACUCCGACUCAAAAAAACAAACAAAAAAGCCCUGGAAUUAUCAUUGACUUAUCUCUUUUACUCACACCCCCUCAACCAAUCUAUCAGGAAAUCCUGUCAACAAUAAGCUCAAAUACACCUCUGAAUCUUACCUCUACUGUUCGUUCCCUCCUCCUCAACCACCCUAGUUCAAGCCACGAUCACGCCCGACUUGAACGACCACAAUAGCAUAUGGGGAAGAGAAAAAAGGAAAAAAAAUGGCACUAUAGAGAGCAUGGAGGGUAAAGGGACAAUAGAAAAAUACUUUCUGAUUCAACAGUUCUUGUUGUCACUGCCAUCCCCAGCACCAGCCCAAACAGAGGGACGUUCUACAAAGUACCUUGGUAGUACUCUUCAAAUGGUGGCUAUCUUCAGAGAAUGAGUCUGGAAUCUGGCAGAACGAGGGGAAUGUUUUCUCUCUUUACUUCUCUGCCGCAGCUUUACUCAUUUCUAGAAAAGCAUAGUGAAUUGGUGUUUGUGCAUCUCAUGCCCUAUAAUCAAUUAGAAAAUAAGGUUCUACAUGUGAUUUUGGAGAGAUUACAACUGGAGGAGAAUAAGAUCUUGAGCAAGCUUGAUCCCUUCCUCUGUACACCAAAAUGCUGCUUUGUAUUUUGGUAGUUUACUCCUCAAGAGAGAAGAUGUGGGCAGGAGAAGGUUAAUUGAGUAAGCAAAACCAUGACUUCCAAUAGAGAAUGUUCAAAAAAAAAAAAAAAAAAAGCACCAGGAUGUGUUAGCCCAAUAAAUAAUUCAUUGGACUGCCUAUUCACAGACUAAUAGAAAAAUAUUACAGAAUACCUACAUGUCAAUCAGUUAGUUAAAUAAACUAACUGCAGUUAGUUAAAUAAACACUCUAUGUAGAUGUCACCUGUAAAACCCAGAUUUAUACAUUCAUCGUAUGUUUUACCCAGGCAAAAACAUAAUAUCUAGUAACUUGACUUCAAAAACUAUUAACAUCUCAUGCCCUUGAAAAGGUUACCUGACAUCUUGUAGGCCAGAUCCAGGGUUGAAUAGACAUGUCCCCUGCCACUGAGCUUACAAUAGCCAAA